AUAUGUGUAGGAUGAAAAAAAAAACAAUUUGUGUAUGCUUUAAAAAAAUAUCAAUUUGAUAUAUAUUUCAUUAUGUUUGGUUGUAGGGGUGUAGAAUUCUUAUCCUACGCUCCUGAAAAAUGGCAGUAGGAAAGUAGGGAUGAAACAGAUUAGUCCUUGCUUUCCUGCGUGAGACAUGACACAGUUGAAUCGGGAACAUAGUCUAGUCGAGAUUAAUAUAUUGGAAUAAUUGAGGAUAUAAAGGAAGAUCUUUAAGUUAAGUCAACAUAGAAGUAGUUUUCUGUAAGACCGUGCACCUAUCUCCUCUAUAUCACUGUUAAAUACAUAACAAAUUUGGCGACGAGAAUGGGAUUCCUGGUAAAUAAAUAAUGAUUUGCGCGGGAAAUAAGCGAUAUGUCAUGUGGUCAAAAGAAAAGAGAAAUAAUCUAUUUUUCUCUAAUAAAUUAUGGCAACAAGUGGUGUUACCACUCGAGCAGACAGUGCAUCAGAAGCGAGCACUAGAUUUAUGAGUUGUGCAAAGGUGCAAAAUGUAAUGCAAAUUGAAAAUUUCGAUCCGACUACACAAACAUGAAACAGUUACAUUGUCUAGAAGGUUCGUUCAAGGUCUUCAAAAUAACAGCUGAAGAAGAGAAGAUGGCUUAUUUGUUACAUUAUAUUGAAGUAGAAGCGUUUGGAAUUCUAUGCGAUCGUUUGGAUCCGAACGAUCCGUAUGAGAAGACAUACUAUUUGGAGAAUUAUGUAGAAAAUUAGAAGAAUUUUAUGCGUCAGAAUCGUUAGAAAUUGCGGAAAUAUAUACUUAUCGCAAGCGUUUACAAAAGAAUGAUGAGUCAACACAGGAGUAUAUGGCGGCCUUGCAGAAACUCUCUUUACAUUGUAAAUUUGGCAAUUAUUUAAAAACGGAAUUACGCAAUCAAUUCGUUUUUGGGAUAAAAUAUUCACGGAUUCAAGAUAGACUAUUGGAAACUGUAGAUCUGACAAUGGAGUCAGUCCUUAAUAUUGCUUGCUCUAUGGAAAAAGCAGAGGUCAAGAGAUUCAUCAAUUGAAAGAAGAUCAAAAAGGGUCAGGGCCCUUACUCUUAGUGCCUGUGGACUACAUUGAAACAAGAGCCAAAUCCAAAAGGAAGGGGAAAGAGAAGAAACAACCGCCAGGCCAGAGGCCGGUGUUGUCCAUGAAACCGGAAGCGAAGAAAUCUUUUUCGUCGAAAGGAAAUUUUACGCACAUGAAAAAUAGUCAUAAGUCUGAUAAAAUUGUUUGUUUUAGAUGCGGUAGAAAUCAUUUGGCGCCCUCCUGUUCUCUUCCUCGGAGUACUAAAUGUUUGGAAUGUGGUCAUUUGAAAAUAGUUUGCAAAAAGAAAGAAUAAACGAAUUAUGUCGAGAACAUAGCCACAGUGGACAAGAUGCCAGUAUGGAGACGACGCGGUUUUGUCACAUAAAUACCCGGAUGGGUUAGAACGAGUAAUACAAUACGCUUUGCGUACUUUAAAUGAAACGCAAAAGAAAUACGUAAAUAAAUAAAGAAGCGUAUGCUAUUGUUUUCGGAAUAAAAAAAUUCCAUAAUUUUUUAUAUAGUAUUGCAUAAUAUUUUAUACGGUACUCAUUUUAUAUUGCUUACGGAUAAUAAACCGAUUAUACAAAUUUUGAAUCCAUGUAAGGGUUUACCGGCCUAUAGCGCAAUGCGCAUGCAGCAUUACGCGGUUUUUCUUCAAGGUUUUGAUUUUGAUAUCAAGUAUAGGAAAACUGAAAAUCAUGGUAAUGCUGACGCGUUCUCUCGAUUACCGAUUAAAGAGAAAGGUUUAUCAAAUUUUGAUGCAUUGGAUAUUUAUACUAUGGAAACUGUAAAUAUGUUGCCAGUUAAAGCUAACGAAAUUAGAAUAGAAACGUCUAAGGAUACUGAUCUUGUGAAAAUAAAGGAAGCAUUAGAAACCGGAAAAGGAAAAAGUUAGGGUUACAGGAUCACGAAUUUGCUUUGUGUAAUGGAAUAUUAUUGCGAAAAGAUAGAGUAGUGAUUCCAAAAACUUUAAGAGAUUGAAUUCUUAAAGAACUACAUUCUGGACAUGUAGGAAUUGUUAGAAUGAAAGGUUUAGGAAGAAAUUAUAUUUGGUGGCGUGGUAUUGAUAAAGAUAUCGAAAAUACGGUACAAAAUUGUAAAGAAUGUAGUCGUCGCAUGAAUAAUCCUAAAUCAAUGUCAUGGCAUCAUUGGGAGCCUGCGGAAGAACCGUUCCAAAGAAUUCAUAUAGAUUUUGCGGGACCAUUUGAAGAUUACAAUUUCUUAGUUUGCGUAGAUUCGUUUUCAAAAUGGCCUGAAGUAUAUAUAAUGAAAAAUAUUACCGCGAAAAAUACAAUAGAAAAAUUCCGGGAAAUAUUUUCAAGUUUUGGUAUACCGCGAAUAUUAGUAAUGGAUAAUGGUAAAACGUUUAUUUCGCAGGAAUUUCAAGACUUUAUUGAAGCUAAUGGAAUUAUUCAUAAACAAACGGCUCUGUAUCAUCCAGCGAUUAAUGGUUUAGUAGAAAGAUUCGUGCAAACACUUAAGCAAGGAUUACAUAAAGUUAAAUUAAUGAAAAAUAUGAUAGAAGAAAAUGUUCAAAAAUUUUUUUUUCAUUAUUGCAUUACUCCAAUUCCAGAGUUAAAGAAAUCACCAGUGAAAAUUAUGUAGAUAUAGUAGUAUGUUUGAGCGAAAGUUGCGUAGUCGAUUGCAUUUGAUUUUUCCUAAAGAAUUAAUAACAAUGACAAAUUUAAAAUGCGAUAAUAAAACGAGGAAUUUUCGAAUUGGAGAUAACAGCCGUACGGAAAUAUUUAAAUGAAAAAAUUAAAUGGCGUUUUGGCACGGUAGUUAAAAAGUUAGGAAGCUUCACUAUUUAAUAAAAGCUUCAUUAUUUAAUAAAAUUAGAAAAUGGAAAAAUAUGAAAGCGACACAGUUACGCAGUGAUAAGUCUAAGAGUACACAAAUUGUUGAAGCGAGAGAGGAACUGGAUGUAGCAUGUGACAGAGAAAAUGUGCGGUUGAUAUUCUAACCGAGAAAGAGACGGAGGAGAAUGCGCCGAAAGAGAUAUCUGUAGAGCAGGAAAAAGAAUCUAAACAAAAUGUAAAUGUACGUCUUCGACGCAGAAGAUUGGAACCAGUUUAUUUUAAAAAUUAUUUGAUUUCUUAUUAAAGUAAGAAUUUUUGUUAAAAAGGGGAAGAGCUGAUAUAUAUUUCAUUAUGUUUGGUUGUAAAGGAUGUAGAAUUCUUAUCUUACGCUUCUGGAAAAUGGCAGUAGGAAAGUAGGGAUGAAAUAGAUUCGUCCUUGCCUUCCUGCGAACGAUACAGUUGAGUCGGGAACACAGUCUAGUCUAACCGAGAUUAAUAUAUUGGAGUAAUUGAGGAAAUAAAGGAAGAUCUUUAAGUUAAGCCAA
rnacentral:lncRNA from 1 species